GGGGGCGUUCUGGUUUCGACUGGAUGCUUGAAACGCUGGCUGCAUGUAGAGGUUGAUCGGUUGGCCUCUUUAAAAAGCCGUUCAAAACAAAUAAUUGCAGACUCUAACGAGCUCGCACUUGCUGCUUAAUUGACAGCAA
rnacentral:tmRNA from 1 species